GGAUUUGUCAGUUGGUCGGGCUUCACUGUCCGUAUUGACUUGAUGGAUUCUUACCUUCUGAAUAACCAGCAUGCUAUUAAGUUAGUGCGUUGGGGAAGCAUAUCUAUUACCUUGAGAAAAUUAGAGUGUUCAAAGCAGGCCAUUGUCUGAAUACAUUAGCAUGGAAUAAUAAAAUAGGACGUGCGGUUCUAUUUUGUUGGUUUCUAGAGUCGCCGUA
rnacentral:rRNA from 1 species